rnacentral:rRNA from 1 species
UACGGGGGGGGCAAGCGUUGCUCGGAAUCACUGGGCGUAAAGCGCACGUAGGCGGCUUUCUAAGUCAGGGGUGAAAUCCUGGAGCUCAACUCCAGAACUGCCUUUGAUACUGGAGAGCUUGAGUCCGGGAGAGGUGAGUGGAACUCCGAGUGUAGAGGUGAAAUUCGUAGAUAUUCGGAAGAACACCAGUGGCGAAGGCGGCUCACUGGCCCGGUACUGACGCUGAGAUACGAAAGCGUGGGGAGCAAACAGG